rnacentral:lncRNA from 1 species
UUAUUAUGCAUUCUUUGGUGAUUUAUAAAUUUCUUAUCUAAAAUACUACUAUUAUAAUUCUUUUAGUAGGAAUAAAAUCUGUUUAGGAACUGCAAACUAUUUAUCGGUUAAAAUUGCUGUUAAGUGUCAUUAGACUUUUAAGGAGAAACACUGUUAGCUUUAGUAAAAAUGCUUUAAACACUUCGGUGUGAAGUUAUUUUCACAGAGUCCACCAAUAUGCAAACAAUAGAGCAACUAUAUUAGUUCACUCAAUGUUCUACACAUGGAAUUCUGGGUCUGUAAUUAACCAUUUUGAGUAACACUCAUAAACUAUACAGUGUGCAGUAAACAUGUCUGCAAAGUAAAUGAAAGAACCCCUAUACUAUAUAGCCUAGGGACUUGAUUUAAAAUCUUUAGAAACAGAGGAUUGUUUUAAUUCUGUAAGUGAGAAAGGAGAAAGUCAUAUCCUUUAACGAAACAAACA